ACCUAGGAAUUCCUAGGUCCUCUGGAAGGGCAGCCAGUGCUCCUAGUCAUUGAGCCAUCUGUCUAGCCCCAUGAGGUGUCUCUUUAAGGUGCUUGAAUCAGGUAUUUGUUCUUGAAGCAGGCCUACCAAACAGUUAUGAUUCUCAUAACAAUCAACUCUUCAGUGAAAUUUUGUUUCUGGACAACAUCCAUUUAAGUGGCUGUAAUCAACUUAGAAAGGUGACGUUCGGGUGUCUCAUGGGAUGCACAGGCGCACCUGGUCCUGCAGGUGAGAGAGGGGCUGGUGACCUGUGGUCUGAUGCUUGGGUGAUACUGAGUGGUGGUGACAGCCAGCUGCAGCUUCAUGUCAGCCCUGGGAUUCCAGAUCCCAGGAGGAAGCAAGGAACCUGUUCUUUCUAGAGACAAGGAUGAGGCCUAUGCAGAUGUCCACCUUAAAUAAAAUCACACUUUAAAUUGACAUUCUGACAUUUGCCAACCACCUAGGUAGGGUCCGGUGUGAACGUGGUGGAAGAUCCCACAGAAGGACUACAGAGGAGAGCUCUUUGGCUGCUAUUCAGAAGGCCAUGAGUCCUGACAUGCUGCUCCAUCCUGCUUCAGGUUCCCUCCCAAACAGCCUCACAGCAUCUCUCAAAACAGCAGAGCCCAGGGCAGCAGAAAAUCAAGCAAAGAACAGAAUCCUUCAUAAUGAAGGUGGAAAUCCCACGUCUGCAUACUCGGUCCCUAAACGGAAUUUUAAUUUCACCUUAAGACCUAGGACAAAUGGAAUUUCCAGCUGCAAAAUAAACAAUUUUUAA